rnacentral:lncRNA from 1 species
AGUCUCCCCACCUUACCUCAUGCCCAGCUGGGCCGUGUUCACCCCUCCGCGCUGUCACAAUCGCCUUGCCCUCCCUUGCCUCUCUGUCUACUCUGCGUUCCCCGCUGGGAGGAGGGUCUGGUGAUAAAAUAGCGGCGAGGUAUUUUGUUAUUUUAAUAUGCUUAGCGUUUGAUAUUUGGAGGGGUCGUAUUGCCCUAUGCGGGGGAGUUGGGGUAAGUUAAUGGUGGAAAGGCCUCAGCACAACGAACAGAAAAUGGAGUGAACGCCCGUGACUGCCCUGCGCAAUCCUGCGGAGUCAUUGCUUCAUGGCCAGAGCUUAUUUACCGCCCUCGGGUUAGCCCGGUUUGGUCAGACGAUCAGUCAGGCAACCUGUAUUGACAGUGGCCUCUGCUGCUACGAUGACAGCUGUGCGCGAGCGCCCCCAGAUUAUCUGUGUGUAGGGCGGAACAGGGUGCCCGAGGAGUGUCCACCCAAAUGGGACAAUUUAAUAUAGUUGAGGUGUUCGCCUUAUAUUCUAUCAAAUUAAGUUACUGGUCAAUUUCAGGCUUUAAGUGGCAUUAAGGAUAGUUCCAAAAUUAUUUUCAGUGUAAUACAGAGAGAAAUUAUCUCUGAGAAUCCUAAUUUGAAAUGACGUCAUUGGCUUUUAAAGAUGACUUGCAAGGAAUGUACAAACCAGCCCAUUAUUAAUCAAUGUUGCACAAUUUAAAUCCUGACAGCCCACUAUGACCCAAAUCCGCAAAGAUACAUUCUGCCUUUCUGCUCCUAAGCCGUCCAACCCUGUUCUGAGAAUAAAUACUGUUACAUAAACACGACUUUUUAGCAGAGCUCUAUGGAAUCUGGGUCUAAGAGAAUCCUGAGGGUAUCGAUUUCAGUAUAGACAUCAUUUGAUAUCACCUAAAUUUCUGGCAGCAUGGCUCAAUAACAAGGCCUUCUGCUUAAUGAAGGAUGACUACUUGGUUAUGUCCAGGUGUGAGAUGAUCACUGCUUCUAAAGCUAGAAAGUGCCACAACUGGACAACCAAUCAUUUGGAAUUUCUUCCAUAUGUCUAAAUAAAAUUUCUCCUCAACUUCAUUAGCUCCUCAUUACCUGUUUUUCCCUGUCAUGCUGUGUCUUACCUGCAUGCUUUGCCUAGGCUGCCUUCCUCUACCUAGAAUGACUUUCCCCUUGCCUUCACCUGUCUAACUUCUACUCAUCCUGUAUCACAUGCCCCAGGAAGACUUCACUCCCUACCAUUUAGAGAUAUGGUUUUUCCCUUGAUUCUCCAACAAAUACCGUGUGUGUGUGUGUGUGUGUGUGUGUGUGUGUGUCUGUCUCCCUGCAUUUAUGGACUUUGCAAUUAUCUGUGUCUACAUUAUUGUCUAAAAAUGUUUGAUGUGUGUGACACUAUAAGGUAAUAAGAUUUACCUGUAAGAAGAUACCAUAUAGUUAUCCAUUGUUAUGGCACUUUUUAGAUAUAAUCCUGACCUGCAUGAGAAUCGGAGGUGGGGGCACUAUGGUGUAAAUCAGAGAUUAGUGAACUUUCUGGGAGGGCUAGAUAGUAAAUAUUUGGUUGGUGCCAAAAAAAAAAAUUUGCAAAAACCGCAAUUAUUUAUGCAUCAACCUAAUAUUUUAGGCUUUGUGAGCCACAGGAUCUCGGUCUAAAACACUAAGCUAUGCCC